rnacentral:misc_RNA from 1 species
GUUUAAAGUAAAAGUGGGGCUAAAAUUACCCAAUUCUAGCCCCCCACCCCACACUUUUUUACAACAUUAAAAGAAAAACAUCAAGAGUUAGUUCACAUAAUCACUCUUAUCCUCAAGAGAGAUUGUUGGAUUGUUAGAUACAAAGAAAAUUUUUAAAAAGAUUUUCAAAAGGUAAAUUGAUCCUAGCUAGUCUAAGUUGUAAAAUCCUAAGACUAGUUAAUAGUUAGAAUUAACAAAAACUUGGGACAUCAUCCUCAUGCCCAUGAUUUCACAAAACUUUUAUAACAUCUACAAGUUAUAUAUGUAAAGCUUAAGUUGGAGGGACUAACCAUUUCAAAAUCCACAUUAAAGUGAAGUUGAAAGGAC